UACAGCGGUCUCAAGCGUUGUUCGGAUUCAUUGGGCGUAAAGGGUGUGUAGGUGGCGCCGUAAGUCGGGUGUGAAAUUUCGGAGCUUAACUCCGAAACUGCAUUCGAUACUGCGGUGCUUGAGGACUGGAGAGGAGACUGGAAUUCAUGGUGUAGCAGUGAAAUGCGUAGAGAUCGUAAGGAAGACCAGUGGCGAAGGCGGGUCUCUGGACAGUUCCUGACGCUGAGGCACGAAGGCCAGGGGAGCAAACGGG
rnacentral:rRNA from 1 species